rnacentral:rRNA from 1 species
ACUUCCGUUAAUUGAUUAUGACGUGCUUGCACUGAAUGAGAUUUUAACACGAAGUGAGUGGCGGACGGGUGAGUAACACGUGGGUAACCUGCCCAGAAGCAGGGGAUAACACCUGGAAACAGAUGCUAAUACCGUAUAACAGAGAAAACCGCCUGGUUUUCUUUUAAAAGAUGGCUCUGCUAUCACUUCUGGAUGGACCCGCGGCGCAUUAGCUAGUUGGUGAGGUAACGGCUCACCAAGGCGAUGAUGCGUAGCCGACCUGAGAGGGUAAUCGGCCACAUUGGGACUGAGACACGGCCCAGACUCCUACGGGAGGCAGCAGUAGGGAAUCUUCCACAAUGGACGCAAGUCUGAUGGAGCAACGCCGCGUGAGUGAAGAAGGGUUUCGGCUCGUAAAGCUCUGUUGUUAAAGAAGAACGUGGGUGAGAGUAACUGUUCACCCAGUGACGGUAUUUAACCAGAAAGCCACGGCUAACUACGUGCCAGCAGCCGCGGUAAUACGUAGGUGGCAAGCGUUAUCCGGAUUUAUUGGGCGUAAAGCGAGCGCAGGCGGUCUUUUAAGUCUAAUGUGAAAGCCUUCGGCUCAACCGAAGAAGUGCAUUGGAAACUGGGAGACUUGAGUGCAGAAGAGGACAGUGGAACUCCAUGUGUAGCGGUGAAAUGCGUAGAUAUAUGGAAGAACACCAGUGGCGAAGGCGGCUGUCUGGUCUGUAACUGACGCUGAGGCUCGAAAGCAUGGGUAGCGAACAGGAUUAGAUACCCUGGUAGUCCAUGCCGUAAACGAUGAUUACUAAGUGUUGGAGGGUUUCCGCCCUUCAGUGCUGCAGCUAACGCAUUAAGUAAUCCGCCUGGGGAGUACGACCGCAAGGUUGAAACUCAAAAGAAUUGACGGGGGCCCGCACAAGCGGUGGAGCAUGUGGUUUAAUUCGAAGCUACGCGAAGAACCUUACCAGGUCUUGACAUCUUCUGCCAACCUAAGAGAUUAGGCGUUCCCUUCGGGGACAGAAUGACAGGUGGUGCAUGGUUGUCGUCAGCUCGUGUCGUGAGAUGUUGGGUUAAGUCCCGCAACGAGCGCAACCCUUAUUACUAGUUGCCAGCAUUCAGUUGGGCACUCUAGUGAGACUGCCGGUGACAAACCGGAGGAAGGUGGGGACGACGUCAAAUCAUCAUGCCCCUUAUGACCUGGGCUACACACGUGCUACAAUGGAUGGUACAACGAGUCGCAAAACCGCGAGGUUUAGCUAAUCUCUUAAAACCAUUCUCAGUUCGGACUGUAGGCUGCAACUCGCCUACACGAAGUCGGAAUCGCUAGUAAUCGCGGAUCAGCAUGCCGCGGUGAAUACGUUCCCGGGCCUUGUACACACCGCCCGUCACACCAUGAGAGUUUGUAACACCCAAAGCCGGUGGGGUAAC